AAAAUACAUUUAUGCACGAUGGCGCCCCUGCGCAGCCGGUUUGGUUCCCGUGUCACCCAAUAGGUUUAGCUUCCCCACCCGCCAUUUUUAAAAAGACCCGACGGAGCUCAUCGCCUUCUUGAAUCAUGCAGAGGUGGGCAUCAUGAAGGCCUCGUCAUUGAUUUUGUUGAAAGGGGAGAAAUUGCGCUUUACAAAUGGUAUUGAUAUUACAGCUGAUCUGGAAGUAUUACGUUUUUUGGGCGCUAAAAUAAGGUCAAUUGUAUGGACCAGCGCGACGUAAAAAACCUCCAUAUAGGAGAUCCGCUGAGCAGCCCUGAUCUUUGGCACCUUGACCUCCUUCACCCGAACAGGGCACUCAAGGAAGUCCGGAGCCCUGGGCCUGGAUGACAUUAAGACCCACCACUGGUGUAUCAUCGGCUGCAGUGCUGUGACUGGAGAGAACCUACUGACCGGAGCAGACUGGCUACUGGAUGACAUCGCUGCACGCGUCUUCACUGCAGAUUAACAUCCUGGGUGUGCAUUAAUAAAACGCAUCUAAAGAAGCUUCAGUGUUUCUCAACCUCCGCUCUGUGGGAUGUUGUUUGCUGACAACUUAAUCAGUUCUAUAAUGCUAGUUUUAGGGGAAGUUUCCCGGACACAGAUGCUUUUCAGUCCAGGACUAGGGUUAAUUGGUUUCCAGGAAACCGCCCCUAAAUGUGCAAUUGCACAAAACAUAGCUUUCCUGUCUCUGAUUAGAACAAGGUUGAGAAACACUAGUAGGCCAUUCUGGGUACCAGUGUGUUUGUACCAUCAUGCCACUGCACUGCUUGUCAUGUCAAACAACAAGGAGUGGGAUAACAUCACAAAGCAGGAAAACAGUUUUAGAAAGAUACCGGUAAGCUUGAAAUGGCCGUGGUCUAAUUGACUCAACAACCAAAACUCACGUCAGCGUUUUGAAUGAACUCAAAUCAAUUAAUUUGCGGUUAUUUAUGAAAAUUAGCUGGCUAGCUCAUUGAUGCUGCUUUGUAGUACACCUCUCAGAUGCUACUAGACAGUACCAUCAUACUGAGUAAUAACUGUUUACAGUGGUUGGUUGGUUUUCUGCCAACCAGUGCUUCACUUUAAUGUAUCAGUUAUUAAAAUUCACUCAUCCCA